rnacentral:rRNA from 1 species
AUGGUGAUUCGCUCCAGCAGUUCCGGUCUGGCAGUGGUGGUGCUACACUGCUACUGCUCCUAUGAUGGCUACGCAUUGGUAGGCUCAGCUGCCUCCCUUUGCUGUCGCUGUGAUGGUGAAGCUCAGCCUAGGCUACAACCUCUUCCGAUGAGCUCCUCAGGGACACAGAAGGGGAGCCUUGGCGCAGUGGUAAAGCUGCUGCCUUGUGACCAUGAGGUCAUGGGUUCAAGUCCUGGAAACAGCCUCUUACAGAAAUGUAGGGAAAGGCUGCGUACUAUAGACCCAAAGUGGUCGGACCCUUCCCUGGACCCUGCGCAAGCGGGAGCUACAUGCACCAGAUCAGGAUCUAAUGUUGUUGGGGUGGCUGCUAUUGUGACCAUGAUCAGAAGAAGCUUGGAGAUGUGCACAAUAGUUUUAGUUGAUGUUGCCACCAUGUUUUGGUGCAUAUCCAACCUAGCAGCAGCUCAGGCCGAACCCCUACCCAGCGGCCAUGACAGGGGGAGCCCAAAACCCUACCCCGUGGCGGCUAGGGUUUCAAUCGGCUCCAACUCCGGCACUGCUCUGCCUCUGCGACUCCUGAGCCCUCAAGCGGCGGGCGGGCGAGGCGCGCCGGCACGGCCCUCCGUGCGCGUGCACCGGAAAGCACUCAAGGCGUUGACGUCGGGGAUCGUCUCCAGGCUUGACCUCAGCCGCCUCAACUCCUCCCACGCCGGCGGCUCACUCCGCAAGGUCGCUGCCGAGGCCGCCGCCGCCGGGACCCGCGUCUUUGCUGACCAGUACACCCGCGAGAGCGUGUCCCUGCCGGACCCGCUGGAUGAGGACAGGGCCAAUGGAGCUGCCGUGCUUCCGUGCGGGCUCACGCUGGACCCCAAGAUCGCGCAGCUCAGGGAGGGGGAGGAGCCGCUCAUGGUCUCCCAGUUCAUGAUGGAGCUGCAGGCGGGGCGCAAGGAGACGGCGCUCAACCUAGCCAAGUUCGUCGACAAGGGCGUCCAGGUCAAGCUCACCGGCGGCCGCCAAGUUGGUGAGUUGUUGGCUGUUGUCAUUCUAGAUACCUGUUACUACAGUGAGGAAACAACUACAGUGAGGAAACAGGUGGGGUGGGAAAUAGAAGUUAAACCUGGAUCAUGGGCGGCGUCACAGCAGGAUAUAUCUCGUGCAAGGCUCUGGUUCUUUGAGGGCCAGAAGAAGAUCUUGCUUUGUAGUGAGAUCUCACUUCUUCCACAGAUACAAGUGCUGGAUGAAGCAGUCGAGUCUGAAAGACUAAUCAGCUUUAGAGAUGGUAACAUGGUGUUGCACUCUGAGGAUCAUCUUAUGACACACAAUCAAUUUUUGAGGAGCGCUGCUGAUCUGAUGCUACGGGUCCUGCAAAACAACCCUGACAUGUGGCUGCAAGUGGUGCACAUCCUGCAGAACUACCAGAACCUCAACACGAUGUUCCCUCCAACUGGUCUUGGAUUAGCAUGCAUGUUUACAUUCAGUACUGCCAGCACUGGCCAUUAA